CUGAAGUGAGCCAAGCCAAUCUACUUGCGGUUUAAUGAAGGGGGAUGGACAAUCAUAAUUCUUACACUCCUACGUGACAAAGUCUUCCUAAAUCUUUUGCUCAGCCUGCUACAGCGAGACCGUUUUUCUAACACAAACCACAAAGUCCGGAUAUAUUGCAUCCAGACCGUUGCAAUGGAGAUUCUUUUUACUUGACGUGGCAACUGCCUAUUGGUUGAAUACCACGAAUUUCUUAUGAGACGGGCUACAU
rnacentral:lncRNA from 1 species